UGAAUGAAGAGUUUGAUCCUGGCUCAGGAUGAACGCUGACAGAAUGCUUAACACAUGCAAGUCGACUGGAAUUCACCUUCGGGUGAUAGUACGGUGGCGGACGGGUGAGUAACGCGUAAAGAACUUGCCCUCUAGACUGGGACAACUGUUGGAAACGACAGCUAAUACCGGAUAUUAUGGAACUGCGGCAUCGCAGAACUAUGAAAGGCUAUAUGCGCUAGAGGAGAGCUUUGCGUCCCAUUAGUUAGUUGGUAGGGUAAUGGCCUACCAAGACGAUGAUGGGUAGCCGGCCUGAGAGGGUGAUCGGCCACAAGGGGACUGAGACACGGCCCUUACUCCUACGGGAGGCAGCAGUGGGGAAUAUUGGACAAUGGACUAAAAGUCUGAUCCAGCAAUUCUGUGUGCACGACGAAGGUCUCGGAUUGUAAAGUGCUUUCAGGUGGGAAGAAGAAAGUGACGGUACCACCAGAAGAAGCGACGGCUAAAUACGUGCCAGCAGCCGCGGUAAUACGUAUGUCGCAAGCGUUAUCCGGAAUUAUUGGGCGUAAAGCGCGUCUAGGCGGCCUUUUAAGUCUGAUGUGAAAAUGCGGGGCUCAACUCCGUAUUGCGUUGGAAACUGGAAGGCUAGAGUAUCAGAGAGGUGGGCGGAACUACAAGUGUAGAGGUGAAAUUCGUAGAUAUUUGUAGGAAUGCCGAUGGGGAAGCCAGCUCAACUGGA
rnacentral:rRNA from 1 species